GACGAACGCUGGCGGCGUGCCUAAUACAUGCAAGUUGAGCGAUGAAGAUUGGUGCUUGCACCAAUUUGAAGAGCAGCGAACGGGUGAGUAACGCGUGGGGAAUCUGCCUUUGAGCGGGGGACAACAUUUGGAAACGAAUGCUAAUACCGCAUAACAACUUUAAACAUAAGUUUUAAGUUUGAAAGAUGCAAUUGCAUCACUCAAAGAUGAUCCCGCGUUGUAUUAGCUAGUUGGUGAGGUAAAGGCUCACCAAGGCGAUGAUACAUAGCCGACCUGAGAGGGUGAUCGGCCACAUUGGGACUGAGACACGGCCCAAACUCCUACGGGAGGCAGCAGUAGGGAAUCUUCGGCAAUGGACGAAAGUCUGAACGAGCAACGCCGCGUGAGUGAAGAAGGUUUUCGGAUCGUAAAACUCUGUUGGUAGAGAAGAACGUUGGUGAGAGUGGAAAGCUCAUCAAGUGACGGUAACUACCCAGAAAGGGACGGCUAACUACGUG
rnacentral:rRNA from 1 species